GAUGAAGAACGUAGCGAAAUGCGAUAAGUAAUGUGAAUUGCAGAAUUCAGUGAAUCAUCGAAUCUUUGAACGCACAUUGCGCCCGCCAGUAUUCUGGCGGGCUUGCCUGUCCGAGCGUCAUUUCAACCCUCGAACCCCUCCGGGGGGUCGGCGUUGGGGAUCGGCCCUUUCACCGGGUGCCGUCCCCCAAAUACAGUGGCGGUCUCGCCGCAGCCUCUCAUGCGCAGUAGUUUGCACACUCGCACCGGGAGCGCGGCGCGUCCACGUCCGUAAAACACCCCAAACUUCUGAAAUGUUGACCUCGGAUCAGGUAGGAAUACCCGCUGAACUUAAGCAUAUCAAUAAGCGGAGGA
rnacentral:misc_RNA from 1 species